CUAGGCUUGCCGGGUCGCUGUCGGUUCAGCGAUCGGGUGUGGAAACCCGGCAG
rfam:Pseudomonas putida S11 PPS11_c45, whole genome shotgun sequence.